rnacentral:misc_RNA from 1 species
UUAGGAAGGCCAGCUUCUUCUCAGACAUCUGAUAGGAGAGCAGGAUCCUCAAUGAAUGGUUACAGGAAAGAUGAAUACAGUUGGAGAUAUGACAGUGAUGAGCUUCCAGAAGAUGUGAUACGAGCUUCAGCUGCGCUGGAAAACCUUCAGUUGGACAGGAAGGCUCACAAUCUAACUACAUCUUGGCGGCCUGCUGGUGAUGGAAUGAGUGAUGAUGAUGGCAGGGUUGACCAUAUUUAGCUGAAUGGCAUCCUUUGACACUGCACUUGUAGUCUCAUGAGUAUUUUUAUUUCUGAUCUAUCAAAUGUUCUAUUAUCAGGAAAAUAGGGUAGUGAUUUUGUGUAAGUGUUUUUUUCCCCUCAAAUUAUAUGUUGUGAGUUGAUUUAGUGUUAUGUAUGAGCUUCCUUGAUUUCCCUUUUGGAAUCCAUUUUGAUACUCUAAUAAAAAUACUCAUGAGACUACAAGUGC